rnacentral:rRNA from 1 species
AGAGUUUGAUCAUGGCUCAGAAUGAACGCUGGCGGCGUGCCUAACACAUGCAAGUCGAGCGAGAAAUCACACUUCGGUGUGAGAGUAGAGCGGCGCACGGGUGAGUAACGCGUGGAUAAUCUACCCAUGGAUUGGGGAUAACCCUGCGAAAGCGGGGCUAAUACCUGAUAGUCUGGUCAUUAUAUAGAUGAUCGGUAAAGGUGGCCUCUGAUACAAGCUACUGUCCGUGGAUGAGUCCGCGUCUCAUUAGCUGGUUGGUGGGGUAAUGGCCUACCAAGGCGACGAUGAGUACCUGGUCUGAGAGGAUGAU